rnacentral:rRNA from 1 species
AGAUUGAACGCUGGCGGCAUGCCUUACACAUGCAAGUCGAACGGCAGCACGGGAGCAAUCCUGGUGGCGAGUGGCGAACGGGUGAGUAAUACAUCGGAACGUGCCCAGUUGUGGGGGAUAGCCCGGCGAAAGCCGGAUUAAUACCGCAUACGACCUACGGGUGAAAGCGGGGGAUCGCAAGACCUCGCGCUAUUGGAGCGGCCGAUGUCGGAUUAGCUUGUUGGUAGGGUAAAGCCUACCAAGGCUACGAUCCGUAACUGGUCUGAGAGGAUGAUCAGUCACACUGGAACUGAGACACGGUCCAGACUCCUACGGGAGGCAGCAGUGGGGAAUAUUGGACAAUGGGCGAAAGCCUGAUCCAGCCAUGCCGCGUGUGUGAAGAAGGUCUUCGGAUUGUAAAGCAACUUUAAGUUGGAAGAAGGCAUUAACCUAAUACGUUAGUGUUUUUGACGUUACCGACAGAAUAAGCACCGGCUAACUCUGUGCCAGCAAGCCG